rnacentral:tRNA from 1 species
GGAGAAUUAGCUCAGCUGGGAGAGCAUCUGCCUUACAAGCAGAGGGUCGGCGGUUCGAACCCGCCAUUCUCCACCA